UCCGUAGGUGGAUAAUUAAGUCAGAGGUGAAAGUUUGCAGCUCAACUGUAAAAUUGCCUUUGAUACUGGUUAUCUUGAGUUAUUAUGAAGUAGUUAGAAUAUGUAGUGUAGCGGUGAAAUGCAUAGAUAUUACAUAGAAUACCAAUUGCGAAGGCAGAUUACUAAUAAUAUACUGACACUGAUGGACGAAAGCGUGGGUAGCGAACAGGAUUAGAUACCCUGGUAGUCC
rnacentral:rRNA from 1 species